GGUUCCAUGGCUCAGUUGGUUAGCGCGUGGUGCUAAUAACGCCAAGGUCGAGGGUUCGACCCCCUCUGGAACCA
rnacentral:tRNA from 1 species